rnacentral:lncRNA from 1 species
AUUAUAAGCAAUCAACAAACAAUCAGUAUGAAGGUGCUCAAGGCUAGUACAUAUGCAAGUUUAUUUAUCAUUAUUAUCAUUUCUUUAACUAUUAAAAGUGUGGAUGCGGUCACCGCCAUUACUACCUAUGCUGCACCAGGUUGUGCUGGACUAGCUAAUACAUAUUCCAAUUGUGGUGUGUGCCAGACUUUAGCAACAGGAGUUGGAGGCUAUAAAAUUGACUUUGAUGGAAAUCCUAUGCGGAUUUACACUGUACCAGGUUGUACAGGUGAAUCCCCAGUGAUAACUCAAGAUCAAGAAUCAUGUGGUAUCGCUAGCCUUCCUAUUCUCAGCUUUGUUAUACGCUGCCCAUAGGUUGGAUGAGAUGUGAUACUUAAUAAAUAAAGUUGGUUGUUGCUCUUGAGCUAGAGUAUAUUACUAUUAGCAAAUUUUGAGCAAUUUCUUGCAAGUAUUCACUAGGAUGCUUUAAUGGCCGACAUACUUCUUCUAAAUAGACAAUCUUGAUGGCUUGUGAGGUGUAGGGCUUUGAGAUUGUAAUUAUCAUGAUUAUUGCUAUGGUGCAUGGAUAUAUGUUGAAUUAUGAGAAAUUCACAUGUAGCUACUACAAUAUAACAUUACAUAUAACAGUGACUUCAAUAAAUAAUAGUGAUGAGCUUUUCGGAAAAUAAUUUAAUAUAUCUAACUAUUAAAGAGACAUCUAAGAAAUAUGCAAUCUAUAUGAAACUUAAUUCAUAUUUUUUGAGGCAGAAAAUAAGUACCAAUUAGAUAGCUAAUUUAUGGUGCUUACAAUUGCA